UACGUAGGGGGCAAGCGUUGUCCGGAUUUAUUGGGCGUAAAGAGCGUGUAGGCUGGUUCGGUAGGUCCGUUGUGAAACUCGAGCUCAACCCUCGAGCACGCCGAUGGAAACCCCCGGAACGUAGAGUCCGGAAGAGGAGAGUGGGAAGUUCCUGAGUGUAGGCGGUGAAAAUGCGCAGAUAUCAGGAAGAACACCCGUGGCUAAGGCGGCUCCUCUAGUACGGUACUGACGCUGAGGCGACGAAAGCGUUGGGGGAGCAAACAGG
rnacentral:rRNA from 1 species